AUGCCCACCACUGCCUCACCGCGCCAAACCAUGAAAGCAACCUCUCUCCACCACCGCCGUUGAUGCUGAUUGAUUUGCAUAGCGUUUUAUGGUGGUGAUGUCGAAAUCUAAACUUUUAGUGUACUGCUUGACAAACAAUAUAAAGAAGAAAGUAGGGGGGCUUGCAGAUCACCAAUCAAUUCUGCUUUGGCUGCCCGAGAAGAUACAUCACAAAAGGUGAAAUAACACCAAGAGGCUGCAGUCAGUCUCAAGAUGCAUUCUGCUGCUGCAUAUGUGGUCAAUUCAUCAAAGCAAGAGCAACAAAGUUCUGGGACAUCUGGAAAAAUGGUGGCGUGCCGCUCGCCGCUCUACCUUGCUAUACUGCCCAAAAAAAUACCUACUACUACCCGUCACCUUUACGUAAUAAGACUUUGGGGCCAGUUUGAUGUUGGUUUAAAAGCUGCCUUGUGUGUUAAGAGUUCGAAGGACUCCUCAAAAAAGUUUUUUUUUUAAUAAAAAUUUUCUUCUGGAAUGGGGCUAGUGUUUCUCUCCGGAGAGUGUUCGAGGUAAAUUAAAUUCUGGCUUAUAUAA